GGAUCGAUGAUGACUCCCUCCAAAAAAAAAACCCAAACCAACAUUCCUUGGAAAAGCUGAACAAAAUGAGUGAGAACUACACCCGUCGUCGUUCUCAUCGGUAACUGAGGUCC
ensembl:snoRNA SNORD116 Small nucleolar RNA SNORD116